rnacentral:rRNA from 1 species
CAGCAGCCACGGGAAUACGUAGGUGGCAAGCGUUGUCCGGAAUUAUUGGGCGUAAAGGGCUCGCAGGCGGUUUCUUAAGUCUGAUGUGAAAGCCCCCGGCUCAACCGGGGAGGGUCAUUGGAAACUGGGGAACUUGAGUGCAGAAGAGGAGAGUGGAAUUCCACGCGUAGCGGUGAAAUGCGUAGAGAUGUGGAGGAACACCAGUGGCGAAGGCGACUCUCUGGCCUGUAACUGACGCUGAGGAGCGAAAGCGUGGGGAGCGAACAGGAUUAGAGACCCCAGUAGUCCCUGUCUCUUAUAA